rnacentral:rRNA from 1 species
AUUGAACGCUGGCGGCAGGCCUAACACAUGCAAGUCGAACGAGUGGCGGACGGGUGAGUAAUGUCUGGGAAACUGCCCGACGGAGGGGGAUAACUACUGGAAACGGUAGCUAAUACAGCAUACCAUCGGAUGUGCCCAGAUGGGCUUGGCUAGUAGGUGGGGUGACGGCUCACCUGGGCGACGAUCCCUAGCUGGUCCGAGAGGAUGACCAGCCACACGGGAACUGAGACACGGGCCAGACGCCUACGGUAGGCAGCAGUGGGGAAUAUUGCACAAUGGGCGCAAGCCUGAUGCAGCCAUGCCGCGUGUAUGAGGAAGGCCUUCGGGUUGUAAAGUACUUUCAGCGAGGAGGCGUUACUCGCAGAAGAAGCACCGGCUAACUCCGUGCCAGCAGCCGCGGUAAUAC